rnacentral:lncRNA from 1 species
GUGCACACAUGCUUGGAUUUAUAGGCAAAUGAAAAGAAGAGAGAUGUUUAGAAAGGUUUAGAGGAGAAUGGGAUAGUUGUAUGGACAAGUCAUUCCUCAUAUAAUCCUCAAAGGAGAUAUGAUAUGUGAAUGGCAGGGUGAAAGGCGAGAUAGACAAAAGCUGCCCUAGUUUUGUGUUUGGGAAAAUGAGCUGGGGUUUGGAUCCAUGAAAGUUAGGGUAAGAAAAUUUCAAAUGAGAUUUGCAAAGCUGCCCCAGUCUUGAGGUUAUGGAUUGAUGAAAAACUUGUGUGAGACUCACAAAGCUGCCCAAUUUUUGUUUGCUUUUUCUUUGUUUAUUGUGGUGUGGGUUGAUGAAAAGCUUGGGCGAGACUCACAAAGUUGUCCCAGUUUUUUUCUUUGACAAGGGGUUCUGUUUGGAAGAGGUAUUGGACAUGAAAAGGAUCGGCUAAAAGGAUGCCCCCAAAUUAGUUUGAUUUUUCUUUUGCAUGCUUCUGGUUAGAUGACAAGGUGAUCCCCUCUUCCCGAGACAUUACUUUUUCUUCUUCUUUUU